UACGUAGGGGGCAAGCGUUGUCCGGAUUUAUUGGGCGUAAAGAGCGUGUAGGCGGCCAGAUAGGUCCGUUGUGAAAACUCGAGGCUCAACCUCGAGACGCCGAUGGAAACCAUCUGGCUAGAGUCCGGAAGAGGAGAGUGGAAUUCCUGGUGUAGCGGUGAAAUGCGCAGAUAUCAGGAAGAACACCAACGGCGAAGGCAGCUCGCUGGGACGGUACUGACGCUGAGACGCGAAAGCGUGGGGAGCGAACAGG
rnacentral:rRNA from 1 species